AUUUAAAAACAAGAAGUAAUUGUAAUAGGAUACUGUUACGAAGUCUCCCAAACAAAGCUCCCAUAACUCGCCAUUCAUAUGUUCAUUUGAUUUGAUUUUUUGUCCCAAGAAUAUAUAUGGCUUACGAGUAGGGAUCUCCACCAUUUACAAGUAUUCAAACAGGAGGGGGUGGUGGUGACCCCCCAGGGAAGUUACCUACAUUUCAUUUGAUUUGUUUUAUUGUCCCCUACAAGAAUAUAUAUGGUUUUAGGGUGGGGAUCUGGACCGUUUACAAGAUAAUAGCACAUUCUCAAAUUGAAAAGGGUGGGGCGACCCCCAGGAACUUCCCUUUAAUUUCAUUUCAUUUGUUUUAUUGUCCCCUACAAGAAUAUAUAUGGUUAAGGGGUGGGGAUGUUGACCGUUCACAAGUUUUCAAACAAGAGGGGGUGGGGUGACCCCCUCCAGACUUCCCUUUUAUUUCAUUUCAUUUGUUUUAUUGUCCCCUACAAGAAUAUAUAUGGUUUAGGGGUGGGGAUCUGGACCGCUUAAAAGAUAAUAGUACAUUCUCAAAUUGAACGGGGUGGGGUGACCCCCAGGAACUUCCAUUUAAUUUCAUGUGAUUUGUUUUAUUGUCCCAUACAAGAAUAUGUAUGGUUUAGGGGUGGGGAUGUUGACCGUUUACAAGUUUUCAAACAAGAGGGGUGGGGUGACCCCUAGGGACUUCCCUCUUAUUUCAUUUCAUUUGUUUUAUUGUCCCCUACAAGAAUAUAUAUGGUUUAGGGGUGGGGAUGUUGACCGUUUACAAGUUUUCAAACAAGAGGGGGUGGGGUGACCCCCCAGGGACUUUCCUUUAACUUCAUUUCAUUUGUUUUAUUGUCCCUACAAGAAUAUAUAUGGUUUAGGGGUGGGGAUGUUGACCGUUUACAAGUUUUCAAACAAGAGGGGGUGGGGUGACCCCCCAGGGACUUUCCUUUAACUUCAUUUCAUUUGUUUUAUUGUCCCCUACAAGAAUAUAUAUGGUUUAGGGGUGGGGAUCUGGACCAUUUACAAGAUAAUAGCACAUUAUGAAAUUGAACGGGGUGGGGAUGACCACCGGGACCUCCCUUUAAUUGCAUUUGAUUUGUUUUAU
rnacentral:lncRNA from 1 species